AGAGUUUGAUCCUGGCUCAGGAUGAACGCUGGCGGCGUGCCUAACACAUGCAAGUCGAGCGAAGCGAUUCGGAUGAAGUUUUCGGAUGGAUUUUGGAUUGACUGAGCGGCGGACGGGUGAGUAACGCGUGGGUAACCUGCCUCAUACAGGGGGAUAACAGUUAGAAAUGACUGCUAAUACCGCAUAAGCGCACAGUACCGCAUGGUACGGUGUGAAAAACUCCGGUGGUAUGAGAUGGACCCGCGUCUGAUUAGGUAGUUGGUGGGGUAACGGCCUACCAAGCCGACGAUCAGUAGCCGACCUGAGAGGGUGACCGGCCACAUUGGGACUGAGACACGGCCCAAACUCCUACGGGAGGCAGCAGUGGGGAAUAUUGCACAAUGGGGGAAACCCUGAUGCAGCGACGCCGCGUGAGUGAAGAAGUAUUUCGGUAUGUAAAGCUCUAUCAGCAGGGAAGAAGAUGACGGUACCUGACUAAGAAGCCCCGG
rnacentral:rRNA from 1 species